AUGGCUCAGGAUGAACGCUAGCGGCAGGCUUAACACAUGCAAGUCGAGGGGCAUCGGGAGUAGCAAUACUGCCGGCGACCGGCGCAAGGGUGCGUAACGCGUGAGCAACAUGCCCGUAUCAGGGGGAUAAUCCAUGGAAACGUGGUCUAAUACCCCACAGUAAUUAUGUAAGGCAUCUUAUAUAAUUUAAAGCUUUGGUGGAUACGGAUUGGCUCGCGUGACAUUAGCUGGAUGGUAAGGUAACGGCUUACCAUGGCUACGAUGUCUAGGGGUUCUGAGAGGAAGGUCCCCCCACACUGGAACUGAGACACGGUCCAGACUCCUACGGGAGGCAGCAGUGAGGAAUAUUGGACAAUGGAUGGAAAUCUGAUCCAGCCAUGCCGCGUGCAAGGAAGACGGCCCUAUGGGUUGUAAACUGCUUUUGUAUGGGAGCAAUAAGGGCUACGUGUAGUCCGAUGAGAGUACCAUACGAAUAAGCACCGGCUAACUCCGUGCCAGCAGCCGC
rnacentral:rRNA from 1 species